GACGAACGCUGGCGGCGUGCUUAACACAUGCAAGUCGAACGAAGUGGCGAACGGGUGAGUAACGCGUAAUCAACCUGCCCUUCAGAGGGGGACAAUAGUUGGAAACGACUGCUAAUACCGCAUACUGAAGGAGGGGAUUGCGUCUGAUUAGCUGGUUGGAGGGGUAACGGCCCACCAAGGCGAUGUUCAGUAGGCGGGUUGGGAGGAUGAACGGCCACAUUGGGGCGUGGACACGGCCCAGACUCCUACGGGAGGCAGCAGGUGGGAAUCUUCCGCAAUGGACGAAAGUCUGACGGAGCAAGGCCGCGGUGGUGAUGACGGCCUUCGGGUUGUAAAGCUCUGUUAAUCGGGACGCGGUACCGGAAGAGAAAGCCACGGCUAACUACGUGCCAGCAGCCGCGGUAAUAC
rnacentral:rRNA from 1 species